GCUUACGGCCAUACCACCUUAGGCACGCCCGAUCUCGUCUGAUCUCGGAAGCUAAGCAGGGUCGGCUCGUCUGAUCUCGGAAGCUAAGCAGGGUCGGGCCUGGUUAGUACUUGGAUGGGUGACCGCCUGGGAAUACCAGGUGCUGUAAGCA
rnacentral:rRNA from 1 species